AAUAGAUACCCGGGUAGUCCACGCCGUAAACGAUGAGUGCUAGGUGUUAGGGGGUUUCGAUGCCCGUAGUGCCGAAGUUAACACAUUAAGCACUCCGCCUGGGGAGUACGGCCGCAAGGCUGAAACUCAAAGGAAUUGACGGGGGCCCGCACAAGCAGUGGAGCAUGUGGUUUAAUUCGAAGCAACGCGAAGAACCUUACCAGGUCUUGACAUCCUUUGACCACUCUGGAGACAGAGCUUCCCCUUCGGGGGCAAAGUGACAGGUGGUGCAUGGUUGUCGUCAGCUCGUGUCGUGAGAUGUUGGGUUAAGUCCCGCAACGAGCGCAACCCUUGACCUUAGUUGCCAGCAUUUAGUUGGGCACUCUAAGGUGACUGCCGGUGACAAACCGGAGGAAGGUGGGGAUGACGUCAAAGUCAUCAUGCCCCUUAUGACCUGGGCUACACACGUGCUACAAUGGAUGGUACAAAGGGUUGCGAAGCCGCGAGGUGAAGCCAAUCCCAUAAAGCCAUUCUCAGUUCGGAUUGUAGGCUGC
rnacentral:rRNA from 1 species